GACGAACGCUGGCGGCGUGCUUAACACAUGCCAGUCGAACGGAAAGGCCCUGCUUGCAGGGUACUCGAGUGGCGAACGGGUGAGUAACACGUGGGUGAUCUGCCCUGCACUUCGGGAUAAGCCUGGGAAACUGGGUCUAAUACCGGAUAGGAGCCAUUUUUAGUGUGAUGGUUGGAAAGUUUUUUCGGUGUAGGAUGAGCUCGCGGCCUAUCAGCUUGUUGGUGGGGUAAUGGCGUACCAAGGCGGCGACGGGUAGCAGGCCUGUGAGGGUGGACGGCCACAUUGGGACUGAGAGGCGGCCCAGACUCCUACGGGAGGCAGCAGUGGGGAAUAUUGCACAAUGGGCGCCAGCCUGAUGCAGCGACGCCGCGUGGGGGAUGACGGCCUUCGGGUUGUAAACUCCUUUCGCUAGGGACGAAGCUUUUUGUGACGGUACCUAGAUAAGAAGCACCGGCUAACUACGUG
rnacentral:rRNA from 1 species